rnacentral:rRNA from 1 species
UACGAGGGGUGCAAGCGUUAAUCGGAAUUACUGGGCGUAAAGGGCGCGUAGGCGGCCUGAUAAGUCGGGGGUGAAAGCCUGUGGCUCAACCACAGAAUUGCCUUCGAUACUGUUAGGCUUGAGACCAGAAGAGGUAAGUGGAACUGCGAGUGUAGAGGUGAAAUUCGUAGAUAUUCGCAAGAACACCAGUGGCGAAGGCGGCUUACUGGUCCGGUUCUGACGCUGAGGCGCGAAAGCGUGGGGAGCAAACAGG